GUGGUGUAUGAAUCAUCAUUAUCCUCUGUUGACAUCACUGCAUUACCCUUGAUUGGUUCUUGAAAGUCUUUAUUCUUUGUGAACUCAAAAUCUUCAGGGAACCCUAUGAUUCUAUAGCAAUCACCUAGCACAUGCCCUGUAUUUCCACAGUUAGUACAACUCACAUUAGGAUUGUCCUUCUUGGUUUGAACUUUUGUGAUGGCUUCACAAACUUUUGAACUGGAUUACCAAAUUUUGUUGCACCUCCUCCUCUGUUACUCUGAUUCCCAGUUCUGUAAUUUUCUCUCAUUUGUCUUGUUACCAGGAAUGAGUUGGAAUCAUGAGGAAUGAAAGCAUUGACAUAAGCUUCCCUCUGAUUUUUAUCUUGUAGCAAUAAGCUAUAAGCCUGAUCCGUGCUUGGGAGAGGACUCAUCAUUAGGAUGACACCUCUUGCCUGACCAUAUACAUCAUUUAGACCCAUGAGGAAUUGGAUCAGUCUCUGGUCCUACAAUCCUUUGAUUUUAAAAUAAAUCACACUGUCAGCAAUAUCUUUUGACAUUGCAUUCAACAACUAGGUUGUGACCAUAUCAUUGACACAACUCCAUUGCUCAAAGUCUUUGUGAUUCAAAUCUGGAGCUUUGCAAGCACCAUUGAUGAAGCCAAGUUUCUUCUUAGCUGAAAGAGCAAUGAAAAUGGACCUCUUCCAUCCUGGAAAACCUCUUCCAUCAAAGAUGGAGUGGAUUAGUUUCAUUCCAGGUGAAUCUAAGGAAUUGAGAUGAUAAGGUCAUAAGGAUGGGUGUAAUCGUAUGUAGUAUCAUUUUCAGUGAUGUUUGUGAUUCCAGUGACAUUUACUUCAUCCAUUUUUUAGUUGAAGAUUUGAAGAAGAUUUUGUGAGGGGUGAUUUGAAAGAUUUUGCAAAAAACUUUGUAAAUAAAUUUGGAUCGAGCUAAUGCUCUGAUACCAUGUAAGAAUUGAAAUGAGAUAUUGAUGUGGAGAA